rnacentral:tRNA from 1 species
UAGCUCAGUUGGUAGAGCAUGGUGUUUGCAACGCAUGGUGUUCCCAACGCCAGGGUUGUGGGUUCGAUUCCCAC